rnacentral:rRNA from 1 species
AGAGUUUGAUCAUGGCUCAGGAUGAACGCUGGCGGGCGUGCCUAAUACAUGCAAGUGAAACGGGUAUCUUCGGAUACCAGUCGCGGACGGGUGAGUAAUACAUAGGCAACCUGCCUUUAUGAGGGGGAUAACCGAGGGAAACUUUGGCUAAUACCGCAUGAAGACUCUAAGGCAUCUUAGAGGGAUAAAAGUUGGGAAACAACGCAUGAAGAUGGGCUUAUGGCGCAUUAGCUAGUUGGUGAGAUAGAAGCCCACCAAGGUAAUGAUGCGUAGCCGACCUGAGAGGGUGAACGGCCACAUUGGGACUGAGACACGGCCCAAACUCCUACGGGAGGCAGCAGUAGGGAAUUUUCGGCAAUGGGGGGAACCCUGACCGAGCAACGCCGCGUGAAGGAAAGAAGGUUUUCGGAUUGUAAACUUCUGUUAUAAGGGAAGAACGGAUUGGAUAGGGAAUGAUCUGAUAGUGACGGUACCUUAUUAGAAAGCCACGGCUAACUACGUGCCAGCAGCAGC